GACGAACGCUGGCGGCGUGCCUAAUACAUGCAAGUCGAGCGAAGUUUUUCUGGUGCUUGCACUAGAAAAACUUAGCGGCGAACGGGUGAGUAACACGUAAAGAACCUGCCUCAUAGACUGGGACAACUAUUGGAAACGAUAGCUAAUACCGGAUAACAGUAUUUCUCGCAUGAGAGAUACUUAAAAGUUGGUUAUGCUAACACUAUGAGAUGGCUUUGCGGUGCAUUAGCUAGUUGGUGGGGUAAAGGCCCACCAAGGCGACGAUGCAUAGCCGACCUGAGAGGGUGAUCGGCCACACUGGGACUGAGACACGGCCCAGACUCCUACGGGAGGCAGCAGUAGGGAAUCUUCCGCAAUGGGCGAAAGCCUGACGGAGCAACGCCGCGUGAGUGAAGAAGGAUUUCGGUUCGUAAAGCUCUGUUGUUAGGGAAGAAUGGAUAUGUAGUAACUAUACAUAUAAG
rnacentral:rRNA from 1 species